UGUGUAAAUCGAAGAGAGAGAGAAGGGGAAAAAAUCACUGUUUUGUUGAUAGCACAUCAGCUUCACUUUGAACUUGCAGGAUUUCAGUAUCAUCUAGCUAUAAGAAGGGAUAAGACUUCGACAUUGCAUCUUCGUCCUUUCGAUCGAGGUGGUGGACUCUUUUUUUGGAACAUCAACAUCUCCUUCCGAUAGCUUGAUACGACACUCGGAAAGAGCGGAUUCAUUCGACGUCUUACACCCUUUCAAGCGUGAUGAAACAUAUCAAAAGUUUUUCUUUUUUCAAUCUUAAGCAAGAAUCCGCCCAUUCCUUGGAAUUAUUCAACAAUGUACUGGACUUUUGAUAUGCAUACAGUAUAUAUUUAACGUACAUCUAGCUGCAAAUGUUUUGACGAUGAAUUUCUGUAAUGAAUUUGUUUCUGAGUUUCAUUCGAAAGCUCUUAAACGUAAAACGAGACAAAUAAAAUGCUAUGCUGUAAA